rnacentral:rRNA from 1 species
UACGGAGGAUGCAAGCGUUAUCCGGAAUGAUUGGGCGUAAAGCGUCCGCAGGUGGUGUUGUAAGUCUGUUGUUAAAGCGUGCGGCUUAACCGCAUACAGGCGAUGGAAACUACAAGACUAGAGUGCGUUAGGGGUAGAGGGAAUUCCUGGUGUAGCGGUGAAAUGCGUAGAGAUCAGGAAGAACACCGGUGGCGAAAGCGCUCUACUAUGCCGCAACUGACACUGAGGGACGAAAGCUAGGGGAGCGAAUGGG